rnacentral:rRNA from 1 species
UGUACCUACGGGGGGCAGCAGUGGGGAAUAUUGGGCAAUGGGCGCAAGCCUGACCCAGCAACGCCGCGUGAAGGAAGAAGGCUUUCGGGUUGUAAACUUCUUUUCUCAGGGACGAAGAAAGUGACGGUACCUGAGGAAUAAGCCACGGCUAACUACGAGCCAGCAGCCGCGGUAAUACGGAGGAUGCGAGCGUUAUCCGGAUUUAUUGGGUUUAAAGGGUGCGUAGGCGGAACAUUAAGUCAGCGGUAAAAUCGAGGGGCUCAACCCCUUUAAGCCGUUGAAACUGGUGAUCUUGAGUGGGCGAG